rnacentral:lncRNA from 13 species
AUCCUCGUCUCUGAGGGAAGGAGACAUCAACAAGGAGAACAUCCCAGCGGCCGGCAGCGUUAGCAGAACUGUCAGCUGUGGCGUCAGCGUAGGUGAGGAAGGAGUCUGGAGGGACUACCAGACUAGCCAGGGAGGGCUCCACCACGAGGGUCCCAGACCCAGGAAGCCUAAACACUGCCACCAGAGCCCCACGCUUGGCCAGCUUAGUGACAACCAGGACCCCCACGCGCUAAAAGAAUGCAUAUCAAGAGUACAUGACGAAGCCGGGACAAACAACAUGGAGUCAUCAGACAACCGGUAAGCAUUGUGACAUUUGAUCACCCUUUAAAAUGCUUGUAACUACUACUGACCAUUUUUCACCUGUUAAUUUAGAUAGCAAAGUUCUCCAACAGAAGUAGCUAAUACCGACCAUUGUCACUACUUAAUCUAGAUACUAAGGCAGUGUUUCUCAAACUCGGUCCUCGGGACCCCAAGAGGUGCACAUUUUUAGAUUUGCCCUAGCACUACACAGCUGAUUGAGAUAAUCAACUGACCGUCAGCUGUGUAGUGCUCGGGUUAAAAAACUAAACGUGCACCUCUUGGGGUCCCGAGGACCGAGUUUGGGAAACACUGUACUCAGGUAAUGUGACACCGUUAUUUAAAGAAGGAUUGUUGUGUUGCUAAGGCUCCGACGGACUCCCUGAGGCCUGGUCCCAUUGUGUCACAGCACCUGUCUUUAUCGGGCAGCAUUUAUUUAACUACGUUUUUAAUCCGAUAGACUUGAGAGAAUGCCGCUGACAUUGGGGAGUUAGGGGGCGAGAGAGCCUUCCUAAACUCAACUCGGCGCGCUGUUCUACAGGCUCCUGGCUGGGUGGAAAGCACCCGUGUCCUUGCUAGGGUGUGAUCCUCACAUGAGGAAAGGUGACGCAACAUGUCUAUGUUUUCACCCCUCUAUCAGAAAUGACAGUCAAAGAAAGGACCCCAGUCUUCUGACUCCUUCAUGGACACGACUCAGUAGUAUGAAGAUCCAGGAGCUGCCUAGUAGCUGUGAAACGGCCGACAGGAAGGGGGUCAACGGCCAGAGUUCGGACCAGGAAUGUGGCGAGGACGUACCCCGCUUGGACCUGUCGGCGCUGACCGACGAUAACAACUGGGGAGGUAAAUUUUCAAUCCCCCCCCCAGCCUUCCCCUCUUCCACACACUCCCUCAGUCCUUCCCUUCCUUCUAGGCAGCACAUGGGUGUCUGGGUGGCAGCUGCAACCCUCCUGCUCCCUCUCCUCUUCCUCUUGUUGUGGCCCCUUCUGUGUCUUCAAGAAGAGUUAUGGACUCAGAUGCUCUUAAAGUCUCUCGGCUUCUAUAUCUGGAGAAGCUGCACCAUUACUGAAGGUGUUGUGCUUGUGUACACAGCUUGGCACAGCAUAUUACAUUUAGAUCUUUUUUUUGCCUUUUUGACAAAUGUAGCUCCUGUUUCGUCAGACCACAUGGAGUGUUUUUGUUUACAAGUGAUGGGAACAGCAUAG